rnacentral:rRNA from 1 species
AUGAAAAGAACUUUGAAAAGAGAGUCAAAAAGUGCUUGAAAUUGUUGAGGGGGAAGCCAUUGGCAGGUCAAGAUGCGCCCGGGCUCGAAGCUUGCUUAACGGCCUGUGUCACGCGCCGGGCGCCUGUCAGCAUGGGUUCGGCGUGCGGGAGAAACCCGCCUUUGUCGGUGGUCUAUGCCGCGCGCCGGACCGAGGUCCAAGAUUUUCUCUGGAUGCUGGCUUAAGGCCGUCAAUGGGCCCGUCUUGAAACACGGACCAAGGAGUCUAACAUGUACGCGAGUUGGCGGGUGGAAAACCCGUAAGCGCAAGGAAACUGACUGGUGGGAGGGCCUGUGCCUGCACCAUCGACCGACCAUGAUCUUCUGUGAAAGGUUCGAGUACGAGCGUACCUGUUGGGACCCGAAAGAUGGUGAACUAUGCCUGAGCAGGGCGAAGCCAGAGGAAACUCUGGUGGAGGCUCGUAGAUGUGCUGACGUGCAAAUCGCUUUUCGGACUUGGGUAUAGGGGCGAAAGACUAAUCGAACCAUCUAGUAGCUGGUUCCCUCCGAAGUUUCCCCCAGGAUAGCUGGAGCUCAUCAGUUUUAUCA